rnacentral:rRNA from 1 species
UACGUAGGGUGCAAGCGUUGUCCGGAAUUAUUGGGCGUAAAGAGCUCGUAGGCGGUCUGUCGCGUCGAAUGUGAAAACCCGGGGCUCAACCCCGGGCCUGCAUUCGAUACGGGCAGACUAGAGUUCGGUAGGGGAGUCUGGAAUUCCUGGUGUAGCGGUGAAAUGCGCAGAUAUCAGGAGGAACACCGGUGGCGAAGGCGGGACUCUGGGCCGAUACUGACGCUGAGGUGCGAAAGCGUGGGGAGCAAACAGG